GUCACUUGAUAGCUUGAAAUCCUAGAGGAUUGCUCUGUAUUGUGUAUAGCUUUUCUGUGGUGUGGCCAUGUAGUACUAUAUGUUCAUGACUAGCUAUUGUAAACCGAAGUUUAACUGGGGAAAGAUCUUUCUGUAUCCUCCAGCUUGUGCCUUGUGGGCUGAAACGGUUGGCUCUGAUUAUGUCUAGUUUUCUGCUAAUAGAAAAUCACAU
rnacentral:misc_RNA from 1 species